AUAAAUAAAGAUGCAUUAAAAUAAAGUGAAUUUUACGGAGUAAUAGUUUUUUUUUUUUUGAUAGAACACGGAGUAAUAGUUAAGUACAGUGGUGACGUCGUUUAAAUCUUGCAAAAGUAAGUUGAAUGAAAUUGAUAAGAGACGGGUGCUAUGGACUCGUGUGUUUGGAUUGAGACUGGGGUGGUACGAUAACUUUAUGCAAACAAGUCUCAAUCAAAACACAUGAGUCCAUACCACCCGCCUCUUAUCAAUUUCUUCUAUCAAUAAAAAAAAAAAGAACUAAAACUAUUAUUCCGUAGAAUUCACUUUAUUUUAAUGCAUCUUUAUUUACCAAAAAAGAAAAAAAAUCAAUUUCAUUCAACUACACAAAGCUCCUCUCUACUACUUUCUACUACCUCUGCUCUUUAUACUUGCAAACUGCGGCAAAAAUUUAGCAGCAUCGAUUUUGAUGGCAUCAUUGACGAACUCGACUAAAAUUUCAUUACUUUCCACCAAUUCGGAGGAAUAUCCUCCUCUCUGGAAAACUAAGUACAGCAAAUUCUCCAACACUUGCCAUAUACUGAUAGCAAUCGUACUAAAAAUCGAUUUGCAAGUGUAAUUAGUCCAGCAAAUUCUUGUACUGCUAAUGUUCCUUCCCUGGCUAGAAAGUACUUAGUUUUACUUCUCCACAAAGGCAGCAUUGUGGUUGAAUUAUGAACACAAGAAAAGUUUCUUGUGCUGCAUUUACGUUACAUCUAUUCUUUCUUUGUUUAGAAGCGAGCAUGAUUGACAGGUUAUUCCAGAGAAUGGAUAUUAGACUUGCUUACACUCAAAAGGAUGAGCCUUUUCUUUCUCUCUCUCUCUUUUUCCACCAUCAUUUUCUGAAAUAAAUACAUCAGUGUCUUAGCUCUGCUUUGAAGGGCAUCUUUGAGUUGGGUUCCCAUCCGCGUCACGAUAGAUUUGCAAGUCUGAAUUUCAUUUUAAUCGUUACUUUCUUUGCUUUGCUUUUCUGAAGAUUUGACACACAGGGAGAAGGUGGAAGCUCAGGGUUUAAGUUUUAUCAUUUUUAGGGUUUUGUUGGUCUCUAUGCAGUGCUGACAAAAUCACCCACUUAGUUUGUCCUGUGAGUAGUAGUUGACAUGUUUCCUGUCUACUUCAACUGGAGAAUCGAACGAAAGGAUUAAAAGUAUACAUAUCUAUUAGUUGGAGAACCAAAUAUAAACACUUAUUAGUUGGUUGGAGGACUAAAAGUGCACCAAAUGAAAAGUUUUUUGAGGACCAUUGGAUCAUCGAGGUCUUUUGCCCCCAAACAAAAUGAUAUCCACAUAACCUACAAGAAAGAAAUGACAAAAGAAAUCAGAUGGGAAACUAAAAUGACUAAAGACUAUAUCUAAGAUUAAUCUUAACUGACAAACUGACGUCCAUAUGUUGUUGCAUGUACACUAUUCAACCAUUCCUACCUUUAGCCGUUGAAGCCAAUUUAUAUGGCUCGAUGGUAGAGCCACCACUGACCAUACUCCCGGUUUAUGCAUUCGUCCAAAGAUGAAGGCCUUCAUCAGGUGCCAUUGUUUGGCGUGACAACCACAAUCAGAAGAAUAACAACUGAAAGAAGUAAUGAAGAUCUAAUCUUUUCUUCCACAAGAUCAGUGAGUUCUGACGUUGGUUUUUCCUUGUCACCAGGUAUAAAUAACUCAAGCCAUCAUCAAUCCAAUUUUCUCAAUCACAGCCAUAAUCUUUGGUUUGGUAAAUCCCAGAAUCCACUGCAAGAUAAGAGAUUGAGCCUCGGAGAUCCUGAACUGCCCUGUUGUUCAAGAUGGCGUGCCAAACAGCUUUGUCACAGGAGAUUGAGACCACCGUGUUCUGCAAUUUAAGUAGGCACCUUUUAGAGACAUAACUGAAAGAACAAUUAGUGUGGAAAUGACUUUGGAAACUUUCAAAUUAUCAGCUGAUAUCUUUUGACAGUAAAUACGAUCUAGAACCAUACAUCAAUUUUCUGAGUAGAAGAACAACAAAAAGGGCAGAAAUGACCAAGUCAUCAGCAGAAUGAGAUUUUAGACAAGGGCACAGACAACAACUACAUGUGCAUUGUUUCACCUGAACUGAUGGCUCUCUUUGGAGCUUACUAAAAGCAUCUUGGAUUCUUUCA